rnacentral:rRNA from 1 species
UACAGAGGGUGCAAGCGUUGUUCGGAAUUAUUGGGCGUAAAGGGCGCGUAGGCGGUGCGGUAAGUCUGCGGUGAAAUCUCCCGGCUCAACUGGGAGUCUGCCGUGGAAACUGCCGUGCUUGAGUGUGGGAGAGGUGAGUGGAAUUCCCGGUGUAGCGGUGAAAUGCGUUGAUAUCGGAAGGAACGCCGGUGGCGAAAGCGACGGACUGGAUCUCUUCUGACGCUGAGGCGCGAAAGCCAGGGGAGCAAACGGG